rnacentral:rRNA from 1 species
UACGAAGGGGGGCUAGCGUUGUUCGGAAUUACUGGGCGUAAAGGGCGCGUAGGCGGGAUGGCAAGUCGGUCGUGAAAUCCCUCGGCUCAACCGAGGAACGUCGAUCGAUACUGCUGUUCUUGAGGAUUGCAGAGGAGACUGGAAUUCCCGGUGUAGCGGUGAAAUGUGUAGAGAUCGGGAGGAACACCGGUGGCGAAGGCGGGUCUCUGGACAGUUCCUGACACUGAGACACGAAGGCCAGGGGAGCAAACGGG